rnacentral:lncRNA from 1 species
CGCUGCCAGUGUGGUCCAAAUGCGUUUCCUGCGACUGCACAGCCGCCGGGUGGAGCAGAGGGUGACCUUCUCCUGCCCACCUGGGCACAGGCUAGGCCAGACUCGUCGGGAGGCCAAGUUCAUGACAGACGUGUCCAAACAGAGCUACCUAGCAACUAUACAAGACUGUGUGCCUGCUAUGGAAGUGGACUCUUCCCCACGCGAGUCUGUGCUGCAGUUUGAGGACCUGGACCUCCUUCCUCUCCGAGACGUGGCUGUGUCCUCACACAGUGGGGACCUCACGCAGCAGUUUGGCUUCACCAUCGGCCCUGUGUGCUUCAGCUAGAGACCACCUGACUGUCAGCUGGGGAGGGGGAUCUGUGUGACAUCUCCCCACCUCCAUUCUGCUCAGACACGAAAGACAGGAGCUGGAGGGAAGACAAAGAUGGAGAGGAGAGCGAGGAUGCCCUCUAUGCCCUCUGUCUCCCAAGUGGACUAGCCCUCAUGGCUGCUUCCUGAUGUCAACCCACAGUGGGGGAAUACAUCUGUAAGCCUUUGGAUGCAAGCUCAUCCUGUAUAGAGCAUUGUUUUUUGUUUUGUUUUGUUGUGGUCAGUUUUUUGUUUACAGACACUUUUAAUACUUCAAUGAAUAAUUUAUAUAUUUUGAUUUAGUUUGUUAUUCCCAUUUCAUUUUCUUUCUCAAUACCUUGUUUAUUAGUAGCAAUAUGUAUGCUACAGACUUUCUCUUUCCCCCCAGAUGAUCUCAUGGGAAGCUAUACUGGAAGUAAACCAGACGCUUUGGAGCAAAACAAAAGACAGAAGUCCACCGUUUCAGCGAUGUGUUUUAUUAGAAUACAGCCAGAAUCCCAUACCAAGGAAGAGUGAUCAGUCUAGUUCUGUGUUAAAUUAUUCAUGACAUUGGGCUUUAGGAAGGAUGCACCCAAUUACUUCAUUUAAUUUCACUCCUGAUGGUUGACUAUGCUAAAUUAUAAUUAGCAUGUUAGCUAUGAAACUCCGAUCCUUGUAUAGCGUAAGUCCAAAUAUUCUAAAAUACAAUUGACUUAUUAAAAAGUUCAGUUUGUAUAACUUGUAAAAUAGCUUAUGUAUAUCCAAAACCAUGGUCAACCAUGAUUCCAAGGACUUUGACUGAAGUUAAAAGUCUCUUUAGUCUAGUAGUUUUUCACUCACGA